AGCCUUCUAUAUCCGUGCUGAGAUUUCGUCACACACCAGACCACAAGGGC
rnacentral:pre_miRNA from 1 species